ACAGCACAGUAUAUAGUAAGAGGUGGCUUGACUAGUCAGGGUGGACCGGAGGCCAAGAGAGACUAAAGCUGCAGCAGCUGUAGCAGCGGGAGCACCUGGGACAGGUAGGACUCUAAGAAAGACUGAGAAAAAGCUCGUGGAGUGCACCCGACAGAGGAAACAGACUUCUGAAAGACGACAGGAGCCAUGGAGAAGGACAAGCUGGCAACUCUAAGUUGGAGAGAAGAUGUCAAUCUGAUUUGGCAGAGUGUCUUCAUUGAAAGUUCCUUAUACCUAUGACAUUUCAGACCUGGUCCAAAAACUACAAAUUAACAACCACAAAAAAUGCAGACUGAUCCUGAUGGAAGCAAAAAAUCAGAUAAUUAAGAAGCAUUUGUUAACCAUCUACUGGAAGCACAGCACUAUUUAGGCACUGGGGAAUGCAAAAGAAGACAUGACCUGGCUUUCAAGAACUUUAUCAAACAUUUAAAAAAAUAAUUAAAUAAUUAAAAAAAACCCUCAAAACA